rnacentral:sRNA from 1 species
UCAUGGAUACCCAAGGGUCUGGGCCAAAG